AACGAACGCUUGCUGCAUGCUUUAUACAUGCAAGUCGAACGAAGGCCCUAGCUUGCUAGGUGUCCUUAGUGGCGCACGGGUGAGUAACACGUGGGAACAUACCUCAUAGUACGGAAUAACUGCGGGAAACUGUAGCUAAUACCGUAUAUUCCAGAAAUGGGAAAGAUUUAUCGCUAUGAGAUUGGCCCGCGCAAGAUUAGCUUGUUGGUAAGGUAAUGGCUUACCAAGGCUCCGAUCUUUAGCUGGUUUGAGAGGAUGAUCAGCCACACUGGGACUGAGACACGGCCCAGACUCCUACGGGAGGCAGCAGUAGGGAAUAUUGGACAAUGGGGGAAACCCUGAUCCAGCAAUGCAGCGUGAGUGACGAAGGCCUUAGGGUUGUAAAACUCUUUCAUCGGUGAGGAUAAUGACAGUAGCCGAAGAAGAAGGACCGGCUAAUUCCG
rnacentral:rRNA from 1 species